ensembl:snRNA U6 U6 spliceosomal RNA
GUGCUCACUUCAGCAGCACAUGUACUAAAAUUUGAACUGUACAGAGGGGAUUAGGAUGGCCCCUGGGCAAGGACGGUAAACAAAUUCGUGAAGUGCUAAAGAGUCUA